AGGACGAACGCUGGCGGCGUGCUUAACACAUGCAAGUCGAGCGGAAAGGCCUUUCGGGGUACUCGAGCGGCGAACGGGUGAGUAACACGUGAGUAAUCUGCCCAUCGCUUCAGGAUAGCCAUCGGAAACGGUGAUUAAUACUGGAUAUGACAUUCCUUCGCAUGUUGGGGUGUGGAAAGUUUUUUUCGGCGGUGGAUGUGCUCGCGGCCUAUCAGCUUGUUGGUGGGGUAAUCGGCCUACCAAGGCUUUGACGGGUAGCCGGCCUGAGAGGGUGACCGGCCACACGUGGGACUGAGACACGGCCCAGACUCCGACGGGAGCAGCAGUGGGGAAUAUGACAAUGGGCGGAAGCCUGAUCCAGGCAACGCCGCGUAGAGGAUGACGGUCCGUUCGGGUUAGUAAACCGUCUUUCGA
rnacentral:rRNA from 1 species